UACGCAGGGGUCUAGCGUUGCUCGGAAUCACUGGGCGUAAAGCGCACGUAGGCGGAUUGCUAAGUCAGGGGUGAAAUCCUGGAGCUCAACUCCAGAACUGCCUUUGAUACUGGCGAUCUUGAGUCCGGGAGAGGUGAGUGGAACUCCGAGUGUAGAGGUGAAAUUCGUAGAUAUUCGGAAGAACACCAGUGGCGAAGGCGGCUCACUGGCCCGGUACUGACGCUGAGACACGAAAGCGUGGGUAGCAAACAGG
rnacentral:rRNA from 1 species